AUGGACGAAAGUCUGACCGAGCAACGCCGCGUGAGUGAAGAAGGUUUUCGGAUCGUAAAGCUCUGUUGUAAGUCAAGAACGUGUGUGAGAGUGGAAAGUUCACACAGUGACGGUAGCUUACCAGAAAGGGACGGCUAACUACGUGCCAGCAGCCGCGGUAAUACGUAGGUCCCGAGCGUUGUCCGGAUUUAUUGGGCGUAAAGGGAGCGCAGGCGGUCAGGAAAGUCUGGAGUAAAAGGCUAUGGCUCAACCAUAGUGUGCUCUGGAAACUGUCUGACUUGAGUGCAGAAGGGGAGAGUGGAAUUCCAUGUGUAGCGGUGAAAUGCGUAGAUAUAUGGAGGAACACCAGUGGCGAAAGCGGCUCUCUGGUCUGUCACUGACGCUGAGGCUCGAAAGCGUGGGUAGCGAACAGGAUUAGAUACCCUGGUAGUCCACGCCGUAAACGAUGAGUGCUAGGUGUUAGGCCCUUUCCGGGGCUUAGUGCCGGAGCUAACGCAAUAAGCACUCCGCCUGGGGAGUACGACCGCAAGGUUGAAACUCAAAGGAAUUGACGGGGGCCCGCACAAGCGGUGGAGCAUGUGGUUUAAUUCGAAGCAACGCGAAGAACCUUACCAGGUCUUGACAUCCCGAUGCUAUUCUUAGAGAUAGGAAGUUACUUCGGUACAUCGGAGACAGGUGGUGCAUGGUUGUCGUCAGCUCGUGUCGUGAGAUGUUGGG
rnacentral:rRNA from 1 species